AUCAAUCUCAUUAACCUUAAUCCUCACUCUUUACCUCCUUCUUCUCUUCUCUCCUUCUUCACAUGGCUUUCAACUUCCAACCCUUCAAGAUUUUGCCACACACUUCAUACCUAUUCCUCUAUGACACUUUUUCUUUACACCCACAAAAUGUAUCCACAAGGUCACUCUUUUAUCAACACUAUUGUUUCAAGAAAAGGUCAUGUAAAAGGUG
rnacentral:misc_RNA from 1 species